UAGCGUAUAUUAAAGUUGUUGCGGUUAAAAAGCUCGUAGUUGGAUUUCAGUUCUGGACUGACGGUUCACCGCCCGGUGCACACUGUCACGCUCCGAACAGCCACAACAGCCCGCUGGCUCGCACGGGGUGCUCUUCACCGGGUGUCCCGCGUGGCCGGCAGAGUUUACUUUGAAAAAAUUAGAGUGCUCAAAGCAGGCUACACUGACGGCCUGAAUGCCUAUGCAUGGAAUAAUGGAAUAGGACCUCGGUUCUAUUUUGUCGGUUUUCUGAACCCGAGGUAAUGACUAAUCGGAACAGGCGGGGGCAUUCGUAUUGCGACGCUAGAGGUGAAAUUCUUGGACCGUCGCAAGACGAACUACUGCGAAAGCAUUUGCCAAGGAUGUUUUCAUUAAUCAAGAACGAAAGUUAGAGGUUCGAAGGCGAUCAGAUACCGCCCUAGUUCUAACCAUAAACGAUGCUGACCAGCGAUCCGCCGGCGUUAUUCCCAUGACCCGGCGGGCAGCUUCCGGGAAACCAAAGUCUUUGGGUUCCGGGGGAAGUAUGGUUGCAAAGCUGAAACUUAAAGGAAUUGACGGAAGGGCACCACCAGGAGUGGAGCCUGCGGCUUAAUUUGACUCAACACGGGGAACCUCACCAGGCCCAGACACCGGAAGGAUUGACAGAUUGAGAGCUCUUUCUCGAUUCGGUGGGUGGUGGUGCAUGGCCGUUCUUAGUUGGUGGAGCGAUUUGUCUGGUUAAUUCCGAUAACGAACGAGACUCUGGCCUACUAACUAGUCGACGGAUCUCCAGCAAUUGGUGUCCAGUUCGCAGCUUCUUCUUAGAGGGAUAAGCGGCAAUUCUAGCCGCACGAGAUUGAGCA
rnacentral:rRNA from 1 species